rnacentral:lncRNA from 1 species
CUCGCUGGUAUUCUUUGUCAUCCUAUAAUUUUAUUUUGCACAUUUAAAAAAUUGUUCUGAGAGGAGGUCCACAGAUUUCACCAGACUACCCACAAGGUCUGGGACACAGAAAAGGUUAAGAACUUCAGUUCAGCAUCCUUCUUUUACAUGUGAGCAAAUCAAAUACCAGAGAGAAAGAUGGAGCGACCCAAGGUACCAUGGUUAGGCUAGGAGCCCACUUAGGUCUCCUGCAGUUUCCCGGGCACCCCGCUGCUUGCUUCUCAGGCUCACUCCUUUGACAUAUUUUUACUGCCACCCGCGUCGCCCCUCCUCCCCAUCUCCCCAAGGUCCAGCGCCCCAGCAGCGUUGAGUUUUUGCAAUCCCUUGGGCUGGGGGAGGGCAGGCGGUGAGGGAGUGGAGGGGGGAAAGGCUCUGUGAGUGACCCAGAACGGAAAGACUCCAGUCUGGGUCCUAAUGCGGGUGGCGUCUCUUUUGACAGGCUACGUUUGGGGACAACAGGGAAGACAAGAGAUAAGAAAGCCUCUUGUGGAAAGACAAAAGAUGUUACUCUGCAGUGAUAGGAGCCUGACCACGAACAAAAAUACCAGACCGCUUAUAAGCGAGAGACGUCCAAUGAAAGCCCCCAAACCAGAUAAAGUGCAGAUUGAUACCCACGUGGACAGAAGUCCGGGCUGCUUCAGAGAAUGUCCUUUUAUUACACGCGCCCGCGGUAUCGCAUGCACAAUUAGUGCCCGGCCUGGCAGAGUUCAGACUUCCUUGGCGUGUGUCUCUGGUUUGGUUAAAAGGUUUCCACAACCAGCGAACAGAGAGAAACCAGAGUGGGACCUAGAAGACACAAAGUAAGAAAAGAGGUGCGAACAAGCCAGAAUGCCCUGAACAGUUUGAGGUCCCUUCUGGGCUGUUCCUGUGCCCCAGGGACUAGCGGGAGGUCUAGCCCCACGGGCUCAGCUGAAGAGAACCAAGCAGUAAGGAUUCCAGGCUCCUAGCACGCUGCAGGCACAGCGGAGACGAAUCCCAAGACUCCCGCCUAAUUAUCUGCCCGGGGAAGCAGCCAGCUAAACCUGCCGGGCUGCUGGAAAAUUCAUUCAUGUCUUGGGGGGGGGGGGUAAACUGGUCAGCCAGGACGUCGCAGAGGACUCUCGCUUCCCAAGUCCCCUCCCUCGAUAUACCCCAGCUAAGUGGAUGUGUUGUAGAAAAGAAUAACAACAUUAAUAAAUACAUGCUAGC